UACGUAGGGGGCUAGCGUUGUCCGGAAUCAUUGGGCGUAAAGCGCGUGUAGGCGGCCCGGUAAGUCCGCUGUGAAAGUCGGGGGCUCAACCCUCGGAUGCCGGUGGAUACUGUCGGGCUCGAGUACGGAAGAGGCGAGUGGAAUUCCUGGUGUAGUGGUGAAAUGCGUAGAUAUCGGGAGGAACACCAGUGGCGAAGGCGACUACCUGGCCUGUUCUUGACGCUGAGGCGCGAAAGCUAGGGGAGCAAACGGG
rnacentral:rRNA from 1 species